rnacentral:rRNA from 1 species
AUUGAACGCUGGCGGCAUGCCUUACACAUGCAAGUCGAACGGCAGCACGGGUGCUUGCACCUGGUGGCGAGUGGCGAACGGGUGAGUAAUACAUCGGAACGUACCUUAUCGUGGGGGAUAACGCAGCGAAAGCUGUGCUAAUACCGCAUACGCCCUGAGGGGGAAAGCGGGGGAUCGAAAGACCUCGCGCGAUUAGAGCGGCCGAUGCCUGACUAGCUUGUUGGUGGGGUAAAAGCCCACCAAGGCGACGAUCAGUAGCUGGUCUGAGAGGACGAUCAGCAACACGGGGACUAAGACACGGCCCAGACUCCUACGGGAGGCAGCAGUGGGGAAUUUUGGACAAUGGGGGCAACCCUGAUCCAGCAAUGCCGCGUGAGUGAAGAAGGCCUUCGGGUUGUAAAGCUCUUUUGUCAGGGAAGAAACACCGGCUCUAACACAGUCCGGGAAUGACGGUACCUGAAGAAUAAGCACCGGCUAACUACGUGCCAGCCGCCGCCGUAA